rnacentral:rRNA from 1 species
UCUAUUGUGGUGAAUCAUAGUAACUAAACGGAUCGAGGGCUUGCCCUCGACAAACCAUUCAAGUUUCUGCCCCAUCAGCUUUCGAUGGUAGUGUAUUGGACUACCAUGGCUUUUACGGGUAACGGAGGAUUAGGGUUCGAUUCCGGAGAGGGAGCCUGAGAAACGGCUACCACAUCUAAGGGAGGCAGCAGGCGCGUAAAUUACCCAAUACUAAUUCAGUGAGGUAGUG